rnacentral:piRNA from 1 species
UGGCAUCAAUGAAAGCUCAAAGGUAC